UGGGGAAUAUUGGACAAUGGGCGAAAGCCUGAUCCAGCAAUGCCGCGUGAGUGAUGAAGGCCUUAGGGUUGUAAAGCUCUUUUACCAGGGAUGAUAAUGACAGUACCUGGAGAAUAAGCUCCGGCUAACUCCGUGCCAGCAGCCGCGGUAAUACGGAGGGAGCUAGCGUUGUUCGGAAUUACUGGGCGUAAAGCGCACGUAGGCGGUUACUCAAGUCAGAGGUGAAAGCCCGGGGCUCAACCCCGGAACUGCCUUUGAAACUAGGUGACUAGAAUCUUGGAGAGGUCAGUGGAAUUCCGAGUGUAGAGGUGAAAUUCGUAGAUAUUCGGAAGAACACCAGUUGCGAAGGCGACUGACUGGACAAGUAUUGACGCUGAGGUGCGAAAGCGUGGGGAGCAAACA
rnacentral:rRNA from 1 species